rnacentral:rRNA from 1 species
UAGGGAAUAUUGGACAAUGGAGGAAACUCUGAUCCAGCCAUGCCGCGUGAGUGAUGAAGGCCUUCGGGUUGUAAAGCUCUUUGAUUGAAGACAAUAAUGAUGGUAUUCAAAAAACAAGCCCCGGCUAACUCUGUGCCAGCAGCCGCGGUAAUACAGAGGGGGCUAGCGUUGUUCGGAAUUACUGGGCGUAAAGCGUGCGUAGGCGGCUUAAUAAGUCAGAAGUGAAAGCCCAAGGCUUAACCUUGGAAUUGCUUUUGAUACUGUUAGGCUUGAAGGUGGUAGAGGAUAGUGGAAUUCUUAGUGUAGGAGUGAAAUCCGUAGAUAUUAAGAGGAACACCAGUGGCGAAGGCGACUAUCUGGGCCAUUCUUGACGCUGAGGUACGAAAGUGUGGGGAUCAAA